AGUGAACGCUGGCGGUAGGCCUAACACAUGCAAGUCGAACGGCAGCACAGUAAGAGCUUGCUCUUGCGGGUGGCGAGUGGCGGACGGGUGAGGAAUACAUCGGAAUCUACUUUUUCGUGGGGAUAACGUAGGGAAACUUACGCUAAUACCGCAUACGACCUACGGGUGAAAGCAGGGGAUCUUCGGACCUUGCGCGAUUGAAUGAGCCGAUGUCGGAUUAGCUAGUUGGCGGGGUAAAGGCCCACCAAGGCGACGAUCCGUAGCUGGUCUGAGAGGAUGAUCAGCCACACUGGAACUGAGACACGGUCCAGACUCCUACGGGAGGCAGCAGUGGGGAAUAUUGGACAAUGGGCGCAAGCCUGAUCCAGCCAUACCGCGUGGGUGAAGAAGGCCUUCGGGUUGUAAAGCCCUUUUGUUGGGAAAGAAAAGCAGCAGGUUAAUACCCCGCUGUUCUGACGGUACCCAAAGAAUAAGCACCGGCUAACUUCGUG
rnacentral:rRNA from 1 species